rnacentral:rRNA from 1 species
UACGGGGGGGGCAAGCGUUGUUCGGAAUUAUUGGGCGUAAAGAGCUCGUAGGCGGUCUGUCGCGUCUGCUGUGAAAACUCGGGGCUUAACCCCGGGCCUGCAGUGGGUACGGGCAGACUAGAGUGCGGUAGGGGAGACUGGAAUUCCUGGUGUAGCGGCGAAAUGCGCAGAUAUCAGGAGGAACACCGGUGGCGAAGGCGGGUCUCUGGGCCGAUACUGACGCUGAGGAGCGAAAGCGUGGGGAGCGAACAGG